rnacentral:misc_RNA from 1 species
AACACUGUUAACCUGCGGUACCUGCGGAAGGAUCAUUACAGAGUUGCAAAACUCCCUAAACCAUUGUGAACGUUACCUAAACCGUUGCUUCGGCGGGCGGCCCGGGUCCUUCCCGGCGCCCAUCGGCCCUCGCGGGCGCCCGCCGGAGGUAAACCAAACUAUUGCAUUGUAUGGCCUCUCUGAGUCUUCUGUACUGAAUAAGUCAAAACUUUCAGCAACGGAUCUCAGAUCGGAAGAGCA